UACGUAGGGUGCGAGCGUUGUCCGGAAUUAUUGGGCGUAAAGGGCUCGUAGGCGGUUUGUCGCGUCGGGAGUGAAAACACCGGGCUUAACUCGGUGCUUGCUUCGAUACGGGCAGGACUAGAGGUGAUGCAGGGGGAGAACGGGAAAUUCCUGGUGUAGCGGUGAAAUGCGCAGAUAUCAGGAGGAACACCGGUGGCGAAGGCGGUUCUCUGGGCAUUACCUGACGCUGAGGAGCGAAAGUGUGGGGAGGCGAACAGG
rnacentral:rRNA from 1 species